rnacentral:rRNA from 1 species
CAGCAGCCGCGGUAAUACGGAGGGUGCAAGCGUUAAUCGGAAUUACUGGGCGUAAAGCGUGCGUAGGCGGUUCGUUAAGUCUGUUGUGAAAGCCCCGGGCUCAACCUGGGAAUGGCAAUGGAUACUGGCGAGCUAGAGUGUGUCAGAGGAUGGUGGAAUUCCCGGUGUAGCGGUGAAAUGCGUAGAGAUCGGGAGGAACAUCAGUGGCGAAGGCGGCCAUCUGGGACAACACUGACGCUGAGGCACGAAAGCGUGGGGAGCAAACAGGAUUAGAUACCCGGGUAGUCCCUGUCUCUUAUAC